UACGUAGGGUGCAAGCGUUAAUCGGAAUUACUGGGCGUAAAGCGUGCGUAGACGGUCAAGUAAGUCGGGUGUGAAAGCCCCGGGCUCAACCUGGGAAUUGCAUUCGAGACUGCGUGGCUAGGGUGCGGAAGAGGGAAGCGGAAUUUCCGGUGUAGCGGUGAAAUGCGUAGAUAUCGGAAGGAACACCUGUGGCGAAAGCGGCUCACUGGACCAUUACUGACACUGAGGCACGAAAGCUAGGGGAGCAAACAGG
rnacentral:rRNA from 1 species